UACGAAGGGGGCUAGCGUUGCUCGGAAUCACUGGGCGUAAAGCGCACGUAGGCGGAUUGUUAAGUCAGGGGUGAAAUCCUGGAGCUCAACUCCAGAACUGCCUUUGAUACUGAGGAUCUUGAGUCCGGGAGAGGUGAGUGGAACUGCGAGUGUAGAGGUGAAAUUCGUAGAUAUUCGCAAGAACACCAGUGGCGAAGGCGGCUCACUGGCCCGGUACUGACGCUGAGACGCGAAAGCGUGGGGAGCGAACAGG
rnacentral:rRNA from 1 species